CGCACAUUGCACCCUCUGGUAUUCCGGAGGGUAUGCCUGUCCGAGCGUCAUUGCUAAACUCAAGCGUAGCUUGGUAUUGGAUCUCACCUUGAACAGAGGUGUGCCCGAAAAGCAGUGGAUGUCCGAUGUGACUUUGAGUGUAGUAAAUUUUUCUCCCGCUCGGAAGUUCACAUCGUGAUGCCCAAAACCUGUCAACUUCUUAUGGUUGACCUCGGAUCAGGCAGGGAUACCCGCUGAACUUAA
rnacentral:misc_RNA from 1 species